rnacentral:rRNA from 1 species
GAGUUUGAUCAUGGUUCAGAUUGAACGCUAGCGGGAUGCUUUACACAUGCAAGUCGAACGGCAGCACGAGAGAGCUUGCUCUCUUGGUGGCGAGUGGCGGACGGGUGAGUAAUAUAUCGGAACGUGCCCAGUAGCGGGGGAUAACUACUCGAAAGAGUGGCUAAUACCGCAUACGCCCUACGGGGGAAAGGGGGGGAUUCUUCGGAACCUCUCACUAUUGGAGCGGCCGAUAUCGGAUUAGCUAGUUGGUGGGGUAAAGGCUCACCAAGGCAACGAUCCGUAGCUGGUUUGAGAGGACGACCAGCCACACUGGGACUGAGACACGGCCCAGACUCCUACGGGAGGCAGCAGUGGGGAAUUUUGGACAAUGGGGGAAACCCUGAUCCAGCCAUCCCGCGUGUAUGAUGAAGGCCUUCGGGUUGUAAAGUACUUUUGGCAGAGAAGAAAAGGUAUCUCCUAAUACGAGAUACUGCUGACGGUAUCUGCAGAAUAAGCACCGGCUAACUACGUGCCAGCAGCCGCGGUAAUAC